rnacentral:rRNA from 1 species
GUGAGUGUACCYUUCGAAUAAGCRCCGGCUAACUACGUGCCAGCAGCCGCGGUAAUACGUAGGGUGCAAGCGUUAUCCGGAWUUAUUGGGCGUAAAGGGCUCGUAGGCGGYUCGUCGCGUCCGGUGUGAAAGUCCAUCGCUUAACGGUGGAUCUGCGCCGGGUACGG